CUAGACAGGCGGGCCUUGAUCCCGCAAAAUAUUAAUUAACAGCUAAACACCCUAUCCAGCGGGCUUCUGUCCG
rnacentral:tRNA from 1 species